GCAAGUCGAGCGGUAAAAGGUCGCUGAGAUUCCUUCGGGAUGAUCUUGACGCUGACGAGCGGCGGACGGGUGAGUAACGCGUAGGAAUCUGCCCAGUAGAGGGGGAUAGCCCGGGGAAACCCGGAUUAAUACCGCAUACGCCCUACGGGGGAAAGGCCGGGAUCUUCGGACCGGUCACUAUUGGAUGAGCCUGCGUGAGAUUAGCUUGUUGGUGGGGUAAAGGCCUACCAAGGCGACGAUCCGUAGCUGGUCUGAGAGGACGAUC
rnacentral:rRNA from 1 species